UUGGCUGUGGAUAUACUGGUUGGUACUGGGGAGAAACUGAGAGGGUCAGCAUGGCCUCUACACAAGGAUGACACACAAGUUCAUGAAGCAUUCAUAUUUUUA